rnacentral:tRNA from 1 species
GUGAGUGUAGCUCAGUUGGUAGAGCACCACCUUGCCAAGGUGGAUGUCGAGAGUUCGAACCUCUUCACUCACUCCA